rnacentral:rRNA from 1 species
GACGAACGCUGGCGGCGUGCCUAAUACAUGCAAGUAGAACGCUGAAGGAGGAGCUUGCUCUUCUGGAUGAGUUGCGAACGGGUGAGUAACGCGUAGGUAACCUGCCUGGUAGCGGGGGAUAACUAUUGGAAACGAUAGCUAAUACCGCAUAACAGUAGAUGUUGCAUGACAUUUGCUUAAAAGGUGCAAUUGCAUCACUACCAGAUGGACCUGCGUUGUAUUAGCUAGUUGGUGGGGUAACGGCUCACCAAGGCGACGAUACAUAGCCGACCUGAGAGGGUGAUCGGCCACACUGGGACUGAGACACGGCCCAGACUCCUACGGGAGGCAGCAGUAGGGAAUCUUCGGCAAUGGACGGAAGUCUGACCGUGCAACGCCGCGUGAGUGAAGAAGGUUUUCGGAUCGUAAAGCUCUGUUGUAAGAGAAGAACGAGUGUGAGAGUGGAAAGUUCACACUGUGACGGUAUCUUACCAGAAAGGGACGGCUAACUACGUG